GGCGCGACCGGCGGGGCGGGGCGGACACUCCCACCGCGCACCUGCUUCUGCCUGACGUGUACCCGGAAGGUCGUCAGCUCAGGCUCCAAAUAUGUAACAAGACGGAGGUCUCGCUAUGUUGCCCAUACUGGUCUCAAAAUUCCUGGCCUCGAGUGAUCCUCCUGUCUCAGUCCCUGAAAUGCUGGGAUUACAGGUGGAGAGGUAUGAAGAACGAGGAACACUGCCCGGGGAGUUUCUUCCUCUGCAAAAUAAGGGAGUGUGUACUGAAUUACCGUUUCCAGCUCCAACAUCCAGGAUUUCAGCACUACCUGCAGAGUAGUGGGAGGAGAGAUAGAGGAAGAAGUGAAGAUAAGAAACCACUCGAAGCCGGUGUCUGGUGCUGGGACCGUGGUGGCUGGGACGGCAGCAGUCGUGCUGUCCAUCUGCUCUUCCGAGGGGUGGCACAUCCUAGCCUCUAUCUUUUCCCCAGAGAAGAUCCCCCUCGUCUGCUCUUCCCCCGUCUCAGCCUUUUAGUGUGUGAACAGUUCUGGUGUUACUCAGCAACGCUUUUGUUAGCGCCUUUACCAGCAAGUACUUGUUAAACACUUAAAUCUUACAAGUGGAAAGAAAAUUCCGUGGUAAAUUUAAGUACAAAAGUCAACCAAAAUUCUGAGUCUCGGACAAGACUGGUUAAAAAUCGUUCUACAAUGAAACUAAUAAAUUAAAUCAUAUAAAA
ensembl:lncRNA LINC02901 long intergenic non-protein coding RNA 2901